rnacentral:lncRNA from 1 species
CAGAGGCAUUAAGUAGUGUUAUUGUUUGAGCUCUGAUUUAAAUGUGUAUAAUGUGCUUUGAUUAUGAUCUGUCCCUCUUAACCCACAGUUUCCUGAUAUUCUUCAACAAACAGCUUGGAGGAUGGCUGGGAGCCGACUCCCUAAAGAGUUCCUCUGGGCUGUCUUUGAGUCUGUUCGGAACAGCAGUGAGGAGAACCCUAACUUUCAUGCCAUCCCUGGUUGCCAUGGAGUCUCUGCUCCCUCUUUUGAUAACAUCUUCAAGUUGGCCGAGGCCAAUGCCUGCUGGGCACCCGAGGUCCUCCGCUGCAUGGGAGAAGACACUUUCAUCAGGAACGUGGAGCUGCUGGGCACUGUCAGAGGAUUCAGCCGGCCCCAGCUGAUGGUCCUGAAGGAGAAGGCGAUCCAGGUCUGGGCUUCGCCUUCCCGCUGGAGAGGACACCACGUGGUCUCCCUGGGCCGGAUCGCUCUGGCUCUUAAUGAGAGUGAGCUGGGACAGCUGGACCUCAGCUCCAUCGACACCGUGGCUUCUCUGAGCCAGCUGACAGGGUGGACCUUAGGGCAGGAUGGUGGUGGGCAGAAUUGGGACCUUGCCCUGUAG